rnacentral:rRNA from 1 species
GACGAACGCUGGCGGCGUGCCUAAUACAUGCAAGUAGGACGCAGUUGCGAACGGGUGAGUAACGCGUCGGUAACUGCCUAUUAGCGGGGGAUAACUAUUGGAAACGAUAGCUAAUACCGCAUACUAGUAGAUGGACCUGCGUUGUAUUAGCUAGUAGGUAGGGUAAUGGCCUACCUAGGCGACGAUACAUAGCCGCCCUGGAGGGGGGAUCGGACACACGGGGAAUGAGACACGGCCCAGACUCCUACGGGAGGCAGCAGUAGGGAAUCUUCGGAAAUGGGGGGAACCCUGACCGAGCAACGCCGCGUGAGUGAAGAAGGGUUUCGGAUCGUAAAGCUCUGUUGUUAAGGAAGCGGUACUUAACCAGAAAGGGACGGCUAACUACGUGCCAGCCGCCGCGGUAAUAC